rnacentral:rRNA from 1 species
AACGAACGCUGGCGGCAUGCCUAACACAUGCAAGUCGAACGAGACCUUCGGGUCUAGUGGCGCACGGGUGCGUAACGCGUGGGAAACUGCCCUUAGGUUCGGAAUAACUCCCCGGAAGGGGUGCUAAUACCGGAUAAUGUCUUCGGACCAAAGAUUUAUCGCCUUUGGAUGGGCCCGCGUUGGAUUAGCUAGUUGGUAGGGUAAAAGCCUACCAAGGCGACGAUCCAUAGCUGGUCUGAGAGGAUGAUCAGCCACACUGGGACUGAGACACGGCCCAGACUCCUACGGGAGGCAGCAGUGGGGAAUAUUGGACAAUGGGCGAAAGCCUGAUCCAGCAAUGCCGCGUGAGUGAUGAAGGCCUUAGGGUUGUAAAGCUCUUUUACCCGGGAUGAUAAUGACAGUACCGGGAGAAUAAGCUCCGGCUAACUCCGUG